rnacentral:rRNA from 1 species
CAAUAAGCGGAGGAAAAGAAACCAACAGGGAUUGCCCCAGUAACGGCGAGUGAAGCGGCAACAGCUCAAAUUUGAAAUCUGGCCCCCCCCGCGGGGGCCCGAGUUGUACUUUGGAGAGGAUGCUUUGGGCGCGGCGCCGGCCGAGUUCCCUGGAACGGGACGCCAGAGAGGGUGAGAGCCCCGUACGGCCGGACGCCCAGCCCGUGCAAAGCUCCUUCGACGAGUCGAGUAGUUUGGGAAUGCUGCUCAAAAUGGGAGGUAAAUUUCUUCUAAAGCUAAAUACCGGCCAGAGACCGAUAGCGCACAAGUAGAGUGAUCGAAAGAUGAAAAGCACUUUGAAAAGAGGGUUAAACAGCACGUGAAAUUGUUGAAAGGGAAGCGCCUGGGGCCAGACGUGCGCCCCGCGGACCACCCGGCGCCCCGCGCGCCGGGGCACUCCGCGGGUGCGCAGGCCAGCAUCGGCUCCCGCCAGGGGGACAAGGGCCGCGGGCACGUAGCUCCUCCGGGAGCGUUAUAGCCCGCGGCGCCAUGCCCCUGGGGGGGCCGAGG